GAACCGAUCCAGCCUGUUUAAACGGAAAGGACAGAGAUCCUGGCUGUUCAAUGUAUAAAAAAAAUCAGUGCCGACCUAGAGCGAGCGAGCGAGGGCGGAGUGAGUGUGUGUGGCGGCGGUGGGGUGUGCGUGUGUGUGAGUGUGUGUGUGAGGGUGUGUGUGUGUGAGAGGCAGCGGGCGAGCGAGCGAGCGAGCGAGGCACCGAGGCAGCGAGGGGGGGUGGGAAAAAAAGGAAAAGAAGAUUUUUCCUCUAUGUAUAUAAAGAUGGCCACGUUAGCAAACGGACAAGCAGACAAUUCCAGCCUCAGUAGCAACCACACUAACCCCAGCACCAACGGGCACAUGAACGGAUUAAACCACAGUCCAGGGAACUCCUCCACCAUCCCCAUGAAGGACCACGAUGCCAUCAAGCUCUUCAUCGGACAGAUCCCGCGCAACCUGGACGAGAAGGACCUCAAGCCGCUCUUCGAAGAGUUCGGCAAGAUCUACGAACUGACGGUGCUGAAGGACCGCUUCACGGGCAUGCACAAAGGCUGUGCCUUUCUAACAUACUGUGAAAGGGAGUCUGCUCUAAAAGCCCAGAGUGCACUGCAUGAACAGAAGACACUGCCAGGGAUGAACAGACCGAUCCAGGUGAAACCAGCGGACAGCGAGAGUCGAGGAGAAGACAGAAAACUCUUUGUCGGUAUGCUCAACAAACAGCAGUCAGAAGAUGACGUGCGCCGGCUAUUUGAGGCCUUUGGGAACAUUGAGGAGUGCACGAUCCUUCGGGGACCAGAUGGCAACAGUAAAGGGUGUGCAUUUGUGAAAUACUCCUCACAUGCGGAAGCCCAGGCAGCCAUCAACGCCUUGCAUGGAAGCCAGACAAUGCCGUUCUCAAGGGAUACCUUGGCCAAUGAAAGAGUUUGUUACCUCAGGCAGCUAGAACCUUCUUUCUCUGCCUGGAGACAACCAAUGGGCGCCUCGUCGAGCCUGGUGGUCAAGUUCGCAGACACAGACAAGGAGCGCACAAUGAGGCGCAUGCAGCAAAUGGCCGGCCAGAUGGGCAUGUUCAAUCCAAUGGCUAUCCAGUUUGGAGCAUACGGCGCCUACGCACAGGCACUGAUGCAGCAGCAGGCGGCCAUCAUGGCGUCCGUGGCUCAAGGUGGCUACCUAAACCCCAUGGCAGCCUUUGCAGCAGCUCAGAUGCAACAGAUGGCAGCCCUGAACAUGAACGGUCUGGCCGCCACCCCCAUGACACCCACCUCAGGUGGCAGCACGCCUCCGGGCAUCACUGCACCAGCUGUGCCUAGUAUCCCAUCUCCCAUUGGGGUGAACGGUUUCACUGGCCUACCGCCACAAGCUAAUGGGCAGCCUGCUGCAGAAGCCGUCUUUGCCAACGGUAUCCAUCCUUACCCAGCACAGAGUCCCACUGCAGCUGACCCCUUGCAGCAAGCCUACGCUGGAGUGCAGCAGUAUGCAGGUCCUGCUUACCCUGCUGCAUAUGGCCAGAUAAGCCAAGCCUUCCCACAGCCGCCUCCCAUGAUCCCACAGCAACAGAGAGAAGGACCAGAGGGCUGUAACCUGUUUAUCUACCAUCUGCCCCAGGAGUUUGGGGACGCAGAGCUGAUGCAGAUGUUCCUGCCAUUCGGUAAUGUCAUCUCCUCGAAAGUGUUUGUGGAUCGGGCGACAAACCAAAGUAAAUGCUUUGGCUUUGUGAGUUUUGACAAUCCUGCUAGUGCCCAAGCUGCCAUCCAGGCUAUGAACGGCUUCCAGAUUGGCAUGAAGAGGCUGAAGGUGCAGCUCAAAAGGCCAAAGGAUGCUAACCGCCCCUACUGAAGAAUUGUGGGAAACUCUGGAUAAGCAAGGUCUAGCACAGAGCCAGUCAAAUCCACCACAGUCUCGCGCUGAGCUAGGAAAAAAGUUCACGUAAUGACAGGAAAGUGGAGAAUACAGUCCCCCAGUCCGGCAUCAGCUGAAUGGGCCACAUUUAGAGAAAUAUAUAUAUAUAUAUUAAAUAAAUAUAUAUAGGAACGAGAACUGUUGGAUUACACCUUUAACAUAUCAGCAAAUAUCAGUCAAGCUGAAGACGUCAGACUUACUCUCUUUCUGAUUGUUGAGACUGUAACAUUUCUUCAAGAAAAGUCACGUCAGCUGGGUUCGAAGAACAUAUGCUUGAAACUAAAACAUAACCAACAACAAACAAACAAAAAUCACACCAGGAGCAAGAUCGACUAGGAUUUCUGCAGAUAAACUGAUGUCACCACAGAGGCUUUUCUCCAAACAGGAAAUGCAAACCUUGAUACUGACAAAGGAGUGCCUGUUUGCCACCAGGGAUGCGGUUGCUAUGGAUACCCCAUGGCACUAGUCACUAAGCAUCUUUAUCUGUCAUUCCUUAGCUAUAUAGGGACCAAAGGACAUAACUUUUUAUUGCAGACUUGUAGCUGUAUGUAAAUUACAGAAGUUCUUUCCUUUUCUCUUGAGCUGUUCCUAUAACAGUUUUUGAGAGCAAUUAUAUGAAAUAUGUAAAAACUGAAAAAAAAAUGCUUAAAUGCUUUUAAAAAAUGGCAAGAUAAUAGUUCUUUGAUACUUCGGGAGGAUCUUUGGUUAUACAUUAAUUAGAGUCUAUAAAACUUUCAUAUGGUUUUCUGUAUAAUAUGUAUGGAUUGAGUGAUUAAAAGGGACAUGUUAAGGUGGGUACCUAUGAAAAGCAAAAAGGGAAAAAAUGAAUACACAGAUCAGUGGACUGGAAAGUCAAUGAGAAGGAAAAGAAGGCUGAUAUGAAUUACAAAGAAAACAGGUGUGUAAAUGCUUCUGACUCCCCCCCCCCUAAAAUCCUAAUAGUUGUACAGAAUUUAAAAAUGAAAAAGUUUAAAAUACCUAUAUAAUGGGGUGGGGGGAGGAUUAGAAAACAUAAAAAAGAAAAAAAAGCAAAAAAAUAUACAUAGAAGUUAGCAUUAAUGCUAAAAACAAACAAAGAUGUUGUAGAACUGUAACCUUUGUAGAGUUUAGAUUGAAAUCAGUUCCUGCUCUCAACCAACUGCUGUUGGAAGCUGUGUCUUAUUGAGGGGAGGGAGGGGGGGCAAAGGAGAAGAUGGCUUAACUGGGCAGCUUUUUUAACUGCAAGCAUUCCAGCUAGUAAUAAAUAAAAUAAACUAAUAAGCAAACAAAACAACAUUCUCAAUUCCUGUAGACAAUGCAAAACAGAAAACUAACGGCUGUCUUCUUACGAACUAUCCAAAGUUGGUUCGAACUUGGUGAAAACAAAACCACAGCUAAGACGCUUUCAUGUCUCCAUGAGCUGUCUGUCGCCAGCAACCUCCCAUCAUCUUUCGCUUCAGUAGCUUCCAUAUUUGCUCUAGAAUCCUUCAGGACAGGGGUGGGGUGGGAGCGGGGUUUAGCCUAGAACCUUAAUCUUAAAAAAACAAAAAGAUUAAAAAAAAUAAAAAACAAAAACAAAAAAAUUACAAAAAUGCAAUCUCUUUGAAGAAUUUCUGAAACUGUUUACAAGGAAUUUUGAAAAACAGGGGGAUGUUUAAAAAAAGAUGCUGGCUCUGUUUUUCUGUAAAUAAAUUUGCAUAUUUUGUAGGACUUUUAAUUGUAAUGAUAGAGAAAAAAAUCAAGGAAAAACUAUUUAAUGAAAGCACGAUAUUUAUCUUUGGUAAAUGACUUUAGAGCAGUUAAAAAAAGAAGUUGCUUUAAAAUCUGAAUCAGAAAAAUAGAAACAAUGAAUUAUUUAAGAACACAUAUAUUUUAAAGUAUAUCAUAUUUAUUAUAAUUUAUUUCCACUGUGUUAAGACUUGAUUUUAAGGUUUUUUUUAUUCCCUCAUUCCUUUUUAUUGGAUUGAGAAAAAUGACAUGGUUCUUUCUGAAUAAUUCCUUGUUUGCCUUUUGGGUAGAUUUGGGGGAUUUUCUUUUAUUUAAAAUGUUCUUUCUUUCUGUCUUUCUCCCUGUUGGGCCUGAUUUUGAAGUCUUCAUGCUGGCUAAACACCCCCUGGUUUUCUCUGGUUGUUUGGCUGGGAUAAGACCCCUGAAACAAGCCCGUAUCUAGGUGUGUAAAAUGCCGCUGCAGUUCCAGACAACUGCUCUCUGAUUCUCAAUUCCCUAAAACUCCUUGUAAUCUUCUGUAAUUAUUGAAUGACGCUUACCAGCUUAGCCCUAAAUAAAGCACAGUUUAAAGAAAAAAAA